rnacentral:rRNA from 1 species
UACAGAGGUCUCAAGCGUUUGUUCGGAUUCAUUGGGCGUAAAGGGUGCGUAGGUGGCGCCGUAAGUCAGGUGUGAAAUUUCGGAGCUUAACUCCGAAACUGCAUUUGAUACUGCGGUGCUUGAGGACUGGAGAGGAGACUGGAAUUUACGGUGUAGCAGUGAAAUGCGUAGAGAUCGUAAGGAAGACCAGUGGCGAAGGCGGGUCUCUGGACAGUUCCUGACAGCUGAGGCACGGAAGGCCAGGGGAGCAAACGGG